GCUUUACACUGAGACCAGGUCACAGCAGAGAGAUAUCUCAUCAGACAUGCUGAUGGACUGUGGGAGAGGAGCUUUACACUGAGACCAGGUCACAGCAGAGAGAUAUCUCAUCAGACAUGCUGAUGGACUGUGGGAGAGGAGCUUUACACUGAGACCAGGUCACAGCAGAGAGAUAUCUCAUCAGACAUGCUGAUGGACUGUGGGAGAGGAGCUUUACACUGAGACCAGGUCACAGCAGAGAGAUAUCUCAUCAGACAUGCUGAUGGACUGUGGGAGAGGAGCUUUACACUGAGACCAGGUCACAGCAGAGAGAUAUCUCAUCAGACAUGCUGAUGGACUGUGGGAGAGGAGCUUUACAC